GGAGUGGUGAGAGAGGGCAUCCCAGGCUUGUGCCAGUUUUCAAAGGGAAUGCUUCCAGUUUUUGCCCAUUCAGUGUGAUAUUGGCUGUGGGUUUGUCAUAGACAGCUCUUAUUAUUUUGAGAUACAUCCCAUCAAUACAUAGUUUAUUGAGAUUUUUUAGCAUGAAGGGUUGUUGAAAGAGGCUGGUGCAUGGGUAGUAAAGGAAUUUACCCAAGACAGUAACAAGUUUAGAAAGACAGAUUUAUUAGAGAAAAGGGAACAGUACGUUGCGAGGGGGGAACAGUACGUUGCAAGGGAGCAACAGGCAAGAUAGUAAAAAGAAGGCUCUCUGCUGUCUGCAAAGAGGCAGGAGCUAGAGGGAAAUUUUAUAAGGUCAUGCUGCUUAGUCUGAAUGCUUACAGACAAGAUGCUUGGGUGCAUGUGAGCUGGUGAGC
rnacentral:lncRNA from 1 species